AGUGAACGCUGGCGGUAGGCCUAACACAUGCAAGUCGAACGGCAGCACAGUAAGAGCUUGCUCUUACGGGUGGCGAGUGUCGGACGGGUGAGGAAUACAUCGGAAUCUACUUUUUCGUGGGGGAUAACGUAGGGAAACUUACGCUAAUACCGCAUACGACCUACGGGUGAAAGCAGGGGAUCUUCGGACCUUGCGCGAUUGAAUGAGCCGAUGUCGGAUUAGCUAGUUGGCGGGGUAAAGGACCACCAAGGCGACGAUCCGUAGCUGGUCUGAGAGGAUGAUCAGCCACACUGGAACUGAGACACGGUCCAGACUCCUACGGGAGGCAGCAGUGGGGAAUAUUGGACAAUGGGCGCAAGCCUGAUCCAGCCAUACCGCGUGGGUGAAGAAGGCCUUCGGGUUGUAAAGCCCUUUUGUUGGGAAAGAAAAGCAGCAGGUUAAUACCCCGCUGUUCUGACGGUACCCAAAGAAUAAGCACCGGCUAACUUCGUG
rnacentral:rRNA from 1 species